UACGGAGGGGGCUAGCGUUGUUCGGAAUUACUGGGCGUAAAGCGCACGUAGGCGGGCUGGCAAGUUGGGGGUGAAAUCCCGGGGCUCAACCCCGGAACUGCCUCCAAAACCUCCAGUCUUGAGGUCGAGAGAGGUGAGUGGAAUUCCGAGUGUAGAGGUGAAAUUCGUAGAUAUUCGGAGGAACACCAGUGGCGAAGGCGGCUCACUGGCUCGAUACUGACGCUGAGGUGCGAAAGCGUGGGGAGCAAACAGG
rnacentral:rRNA from 1 species